AGAAGAAGAAGGGGAAGAGGAAGGAGGUGAUGGAGGAGGAGAGUGGGUAAAACUAUCUUCUUCCUUUUCUUCUUUUUUCUCUUCUUUUUUCUCUUCUUCUUCGGUGUUUUCC
rnacentral:ribozyme from 13 species